rnacentral:rRNA from 1 species
CCAUGCAUGCCUAAGUACAGCCCAUCUCUUCGGAGUUACGGGUGAAACCGCAGACGGCUCAUUAAAUCAGUUGUGGUCUAAGUGGGCGACAGUUCCCUUAAUUGGAUAACUGUGGAAAAUCCAGAGCUAAUACAUGCGACACACGGCCCUGACUCCUCUCCUACGCUCGUAGUUCACGUGUCAUGGGGGUUGAGGUAGGGUGCUUUUAUUAGACCGAGGCGCGCGUCCGGAUGCUAUUAGGUGGGGAAUUUAUUCCUCCCUAGGCAUCAGUUCGAUCGCAGUAAGCGCUAUAAGGUGACUCUGGAUAACAUUGAUAAGCGAGGGUUAUUCCUAUCGCUGCCUACUUACGAGUGACUGACCUAUCAGGUAGGAAUGCAUGUUAUACGCGGGCAUUGCCGCUGACGGGUAACGGGGAAUCAGAGUUCGAUUCCGGAGAGGCAGCCUGAGAAACGGCUACCACGUCUAAGGACGGCAGCAGGCACGCAAAUUACCCAAUCCCAGCACAUGGGGGAGGUAGUGACGAUAGAUACUGAUGCGGGUCGUUCUUCGGAACACUCGCAAUUGGAAUGGAUAUUUUCUAAACACACUAAUGAGAACCUACUGGAGGGCAAGCCUGGUGCCAGCAGCCGCGGUAAUUCCAGCUCCAGUGGCGUAUGCCAAUGUUGCUGCGGUUAAAAGGCUCGCAGUUGAAUGUCAGUUAAUAUACGCGUAGAGGUGCCGGGACGUUGCGAGCUUCUUUCGUCAGAUCGUAGCGAGCCGUCUCUCCAAGUGCAUCUCUCGCGGGCUAACGAUUGGGUUAGCGGAUAAAGCAAUGGCGGGACCCUCGGGCACCGCGGUUGCCUUACCGCUUCGUGACACCUUGAGUAAAUCAGAGUGCUUAAAGCAGUCGUUGAAACACUACGGCUGCGACUCCCGCUUGCGGGCAUAGUCGUUGUUCGAGUGACGUAGCGAUACGUUUGGACAUUGUCUUUGCUUUGCAUGGUACGUCGGAAGACGCAGUGUUGAGUAGGUUGUGCUUAUGGUUAUGUCGGCUGGUUAUUUUGGUAAUGUGUGCGCGCGCGCCUACUCACACUGAAUGAUCUGAAAGGGAUGGCUCGAAGGCAUUGGUAUUGCGGGGCUAGAGGUGAAAUUCUAUGACCCCCGCAAGACUACCCGAAGCGAAAGCGUCUGCCUAGGACGUCUUCAUUAAUCAUGAACGAAAGUUGAAGGAUCGAAGGCGAUCAGAUACCGCCCUAGUUGCAACUGUAAACGAUACCAACCAUCAAUCCGUCAUAGCGUUCUCUUUUGCUCACGGAGGCGAGCUUGCUCUCUUCGUGGGCUGAGUGUAAGCGCUCGAUGGGCAGCUCUUUUCGGACGGGAAACCAGAGUUUUUCGGUUCCGGGGGGAGUCUGGUUGCAAAGCUGAAACUUAAAGGAAUGACG